rnacentral:rRNA from 1 species
UACGGAGGGUGCAAACGUUGCUCGGAAUCAUUGGGCGUAAAGCGCACGUAGGCGGUCCAGCAAGUCGGGUGUGAAAGCCCUCGGCUUAACCGAGGAAGUGCAUUCGAAACUACUGGACUUGAGUACUGAAGAGGGUCGCGGAAUUCCCGGUGUAGAGGUGAAAUUCGUAGAUAUCGGGAGGAACACCCGUGGCUAAGGCGGCUCUCUAGUACGUGACUGACGCUGAGACGCGAAAGCGUGGGGAGCGAACAGG